rnacentral:rRNA from 1 species
AUUGAACGCUGGCGGCAGGCCUAACACAUGCAAGUCGAACGGUAACAGGAAGAAGCUUGCUUCUUUGCUGACGAGUGGCGGACGGGUGAGUAAUGUCUGGGAAACUGCCUGAUGGAGGGGGAUAACUACUGGAAACGGUAGCUAUUACCGCAUAACGUCGCAAGACCAAAGAGGGGGACCUUCGGGCCUCUUGCCAUCGGAUGUGCCCAGAUGGGAUUAGCUAGUAGGUGGGGUAACGGCUCACCUAGGCGACGAUCCCUAGCUGGUCUGAGAGGAUGACCAGCCACACUGGAACUGAGACACGGUCCAGACUCCUACGGGAGGCAGCAGUAGGGAAUAUUGCACAAUGGGCGCAAGCCUGAUGCAGCCAUGCCGCGUGUAUGAAGAAGGCCUUCGGGUUGUAAAGUACUUUCAGCGGGGAGGAAGGGAGUAAAGUUAAUACCUUUGCUCAUUGACGUUACCCGCAGAAGAAGCACCGGCUAACUCCGUG